AGUUUGAACUGUCCAUAAGCCCAGUGUCACGUUAUUGAUUUGAACUGGGACCACAUAGAACAUGGUUGCAACCAAAGUCAUGUAGUGGCACCAAAUCUUGUAUAAAGGGGGUCAAAUGAGGUGU